CACGCCCUAAACGAUGCGAACUGGACGUUGGGCACACUUAGGUGCUCAGUGUCGAAGCUAACGCGUUAAGUUCGCCGCCUGGGGAGUACGGUCGCAAGACUGAAACUCAAAGGAAUUGACGGGGGCCCGCACAAGCGGUGGAGUAUGUGGUUUAAUUCGAUGCAACGCGAAGAACCUUACCUGGCCUUGACAUGUCUGGAAUCCUUGAGAGAUCGAGGAGUGCCUUCGGGAAUCAGAACACAGGUGC
rnacentral:rRNA from 1 species